CUGCAUUCCCUGUGUUGGCCC
rnacentral:siRNA from 1 species